rnacentral:rRNA from 1 species
GACGAACGCUGGCGGCGUGCUUAACACAUGCAAGUCGAACGAAGAGCGAUGGAAGCUUGCUUCUAUCAAUCUUAGUGGCGAACGGGUGAGUAACGCGUAAUCAACCUGCCCUUCAGAGGGGGACAACAGUUGGGAACGACUGCUAAUACCGCAUACGAUCUAAUCUCGGCAUCGAGGAUAGAUGAAAGGUGGCCUCUACAUGUAAGCUAUCACUGAAGGAGGGGAUUGCGUCUGAUUAGCUAGUUGGAGGGGUAACGGCCCACCAAGGCGAUGAUCAGUAGCCGGUCUGAGAGGAUGAACGGCCACAUUGGGACUGAGACACGGCCCAGACUCCUACGGGAGGCAGCAGUGGGGAAUCUUCCGCAAUGGACGAAAGUCUGACGGAGCAACGCCGCGUGAGUGAUGACGGCCUUCGGGGUGUAAAGCUCUGUUAAAUCGGGACGAAAAGGCCCUCUUGCGAAUAA